rnacentral:rRNA from 1 species
AGGAUCAACGCUGGCGGCGUGUCUAAUGCAUGCAAGUCGAACGGUCGGCCUUCGGGUCGGCCGUGGCGAACGGCUGAGGAACACGUGCGUAUCGGCCUUCUUGUGGGGAAUAACGCGUGGAAACACGUGCUAAUACCGCGUACGCUGCCCGUUACCGGGCAGGAAAGCCUUCGGGCGCAGGAAGUGGAGCGCGCGGCCCAUCAGGUUGAUGGCGGGGUAAUGGCCCACCAUGCCGCUGACGGGUCGCUGGUCUGUGAGGACGGCCAGCCAGACUGGGACUGCGACACGGCCCAGACACCUACGGGUGGCAGCAGCAAGGAUCUUCGGCAAUGGGCAAAGCCUGACCGAGCAACGCCGCGUGGAGGACGACGGCCUUCGGUUGUAAACUCCGUUUUGGGGGAUGAUACGGACAGUACCCCAGAAUCAGCCCGGCUAACUCUGUGCCAGCAGCCGC